rnacentral:rRNA from 1 species
UACGAAGGGGGCUAGCGUUGUUCGGAAUCACUGGGCGUAAAGCGCACGUAGGCGGAUCUUUAAGUCAGGGGUGAAAUCCCGAGGCUCAACCUCGGAACUGCCUUUGAUACUGGGGAUCUCGAGUCCGGGAGAGGUGAGUGGAACUGCGAGUGUAGAGGUGAAAUUCGUAGAUAUUCGCAAGAACACCGGUGGCGAAGGCGGUGAGCUGGGCAGUAGCUGACACUGAGGCGCGACAGCGUGGGGAGCAAACAGG